rnacentral:misc_RNA from 1 species
GUGAAGAACGCAGCGAAAUGCGAUAAGUAGUGUGAAUUGCAGAAUUCAGUGAAUCAUCGAAUCUUUGAACGCACAUUGCGCCCCUUGGUAUUCCAUGGGGCAUGCCUGUUCGAGCGUCAUUUGUACCUUCAAGCUCUGCUUGGUGUUGGGUGUUUGUCUCGCCUCCGCGUGUAGACUCGCCUCAAAACGAUUGGCAGCCGGCGUAUUGAUUUCGGAGCGCAGUACAUCUCGCGCUUUGCACUCACAACGACGGCGUCCAGAAGUACAUUUUUACACUCUUGACCUCGGAUCAGGUAGGGAUACCCGCUGAACUUAAGCAUAUCAAUAAGCGGAGGA